rnacentral:lncRNA from 1 species
CUUACACUGUUCCAAAGUGUCAUUAAAAUAAUAUUUAUAAUAACCCUCCUUUAUCCUUGUUAUUAUUAUGAUCAUCAUUAUUAUAAUAAGUAAUGUCAUUAUCAUUAGUGGUCUUAGUAUAGCAGCCUUGUAUAACCACCAUCGAGCUGUAGGCCUAAGAGCACCUCCUGGGCAGCUCCUAACCAAAAUGUCCAGUCUCGUCUCAUUGAUUCGACUCCAGCGGCUGCCAGGGGUCGAGGACGUGGAGGGAUGGGAAGAGGACAUAUUUUCCAGAAAAGGCGAUACUUUUCUACUUUCUAUAUUACAACUUGUUUUGU